rnacentral:misc_RNA from 1 species
GAAAUGCGAUAAGUAAUGUGAAUUGCAGAAUUUAGUGAAUCAUCGAAUCUUUGAACGCACAUUGCGCCCGCCAGUAUUCUGGCGGGCAUGCCUGUCCGAGCGUCAUUUCAACCAUCAAGCCCCCGGGCUUGUGUUGGGGACCUGCGGCUGCCCGCAGGCCCUGAAAACCAGUGGCGGGCUCGCUGUCACACCGAGCGUAGUAGCAAUCACCUCGCUCAGGGCGUGCUGCGGGUUCCGGCCGUUAAACAGCCUUACAAAACCCAAGGUUGACCUCGGAUCAGGUAGGAAGACCCGCUGAACUUAAGC